GUGCGCUUGAACACGGAGAAGGGCGUAGCGCUCUUGCAACAAACUCCUGCCAUAUGCAUUACCCUGCGGGUCGUCGACUACAGAUAUUGGGACGCUCGUACGGUGUUGUGCAUUGUUCCUGGAUCGUGCCUCUAGAAAAGACGUCCCGAGUGCUGCCUCGAGAUCUACUGCAGCGCUGUUUCCUUUCUGUUUUUAGCAAGCUCACCGCUCUGCUCUUUUGUUUCCUUUUGCUAAUGGAGAAUAAAGACAUUCCAAACUUGCA